rnacentral:rRNA from 1 species
GACGAACCGUGCAAACGUUGUUCGGAAUCACUGGGCUUAAAGGGCGCGUAGGCGGCUUACCAAGUCCGGGGUGAAAUCUUUCGGCUCAACCGGAAAAGUGCCCUGGAUACUGGUAGGCUUGAGGGAGGUAGGGGCAUGUGGAACUUCCGGUGGAGCGGUGAAAUGCGUUGAUAUCGGAAGGAACGCCGGUGGCGAAAGC